rnacentral:misc_RNA from 1 species
UGGACUACGUGGGUAUCUAAUCCUGUUUGCUCCCCACGCUUUCGUGACUCAGCGUCAGUUUCAGUCCAGUAAGCCGCCUUCGCCACCGGUGUUCUUCCUAAUAUCUACGCAUUUCACCGCUACACUAGGAAUUCCGCUUACCUCUCCUGCACUCUAGUUACAUAGUUUCUUAUGCAGCUCUGGGGUUGAGCCCCAGAAUUUCACAUAUGACUUACAUAACCGCCUACUCACCCUUUACACCCAGUAAAUCCGGAUAACGCUUGCACCAUACGUAUUACCGCGGCUGCUGGCACGUAUUUAGCCGGUGCUUCUUAUUCAGGUACCGUCAUUUCUUUCUUCCCUGUCGAUAGAAGUUUACAUACCGAAAUACUUCUUCCUUCACGCGGCGUUGCUGCAUCAG